AUGUAAGCUCACAAGGGAACGUUGUGGCUCGCCACCUGACCAUCUCAUUUUGUGGAUUUAACAGUUCGUAAACAAAGCCGCAGACAUGAAGACCUCAACAGUAUUGGCUGUCGCCCUUGUAUGCAUGUCUGUGAUGAAGCUUUUCUGUUCGGCGACAACAUGGCGUGGCUCCUGUUCAGCAAUCCUAACUUCUUGAGGUUCCUUACCGGGGUUGGCGGCGGAAGUGGUAGCUUGCCCUUAUGGCUCCUUGCAUCCAGUAUGGGUGACAACAUGAAACACAUGGGCCAAGGUAUGCUUCUGUCUUCAUUAUUGCCACCCGGUGCACGGUCCGGGGCUGGCGCUGCAUAAGAGAAGAGAAAGUGUUGCGGUUUCCCGGAACAGAUGGGAGUGUCCACAAAACACGAACACAAACACAAAACUUGGCGAGGAGUCCUCUUUGAUUCCACUGACAGCCUCGGAAGGGACACCAGUGAAUGCAGCAGGCUGGGUUUUUUUUCCUUCAGUUAUUUUUUAACUUUUUUUUUCUUUUUGACUUCUAUUAAACUGUUUAUGCAUGUUUACAAA